AGGGGAGUAGGCUAGAGGUAAACUGACCGUCUCCAAAAUGGUAGUCCAGGGUUCAAUUCCCUGCUCCCCUGUCA
rnacentral:tRNA from 2 species